AUCKGAAAUCAGGUGGGACUACCC
rnacentral:rRNA from 1 species